GGGGAAUCGUGUGCCAUAUCUUCCUGCUUUCCAAUCCAAGAUGCCAAAGUCUACCGGAGCACACAGUUGACUAGUAUAAAAUGAUACAUGCAGACCAGAAGUGGAAUACAUAUUGAUCAGAAGUUGAGUACGUGCUGACAAACCACCUCAAAAAAAACACAGUAACUCAGUUGGCUGGAUCCAUAUGGAGCUGAUGAACCUCUGAAUGAAUAGUGAAUGGAAAAACUGCUGGAAUCUGCCUUCAGCUUUGUUCCCAGGAUGACCAAUGUAAAAGGCCUAAGAGCAAUACUGCACAGAUGGUGUAAAGAGGUAAGAAAUCUGCAGGGUUUAGUUUACUUUUUCUUAUCCUACGUUAUUUGGAGUUUUAUUUUAUUUUUUAGCUAUAGUGCAGUUUCUCCAGCUCUAUUUGUUUAAAUGUCUUUACUUACAAAAAAUGUAAAAAAAAAAACCCAAAACAGAACAGCUUUUGGGAAAUGAAAUCUAAGAGUAUAUGUAGCACUGAACAUUUACAUAAAAAUACAAUCUAAAACAUUGAAUUUUGUACGGUAUAGAAGUAAUUGAAAGCAUAAUUAUGAAAUAGUGAAAAAGGCUGGUUAAAAUUUAACAAAGAACUUUGGAAUUACUUCUUCAAUUCACCCUAUGUUGUGGGAAUAUGCAGAUGUUCACAUUUACACAGUCAUGUAUGUCCACUAGGGUUACAUGCUUUUAUAGUCUGAAGCAUCCUCACAAGUGCCAAUACAGUAAAUCAAAAGACUCUCUGGCAUUAUCUAGUUUCCUUUCUGGCUUUAAAAGUUAGAACAGAUGUCACAAGAGAGGACAAAAUGGAUUUUACCCACCGAGAGGAGCUUUUCUUGCCAUCAUUAAUAGGAGGCUCCUUGAAAUGCUAAUGUACACAGUUUGUGUUGCCGGGUUUGCAUAGAGAUGGUGGGAAACAGCUCUGAUCCCAACAAAACCUUUUGUUAUUAAUCAAGAAAAUCUGCUCUUCUGAAACAGCAAAGCACUGAAAUGGUGUGGCUACUUGCAAUGCAGAGAUCUCUAUAGCAAUCUCCAAUGAACAAAAAUGUAAUAAAAACUGUUCUACGAGAUACGGCACAUGUAGCAAUUUAUUUUCAGUGAUUUUGCAUACAAACUUUCUCCUUUCCUUUGUCAUUUCAGCACGGAUAUUUACAGUUGAAAGAAUAUACUGCUUCUCUAUUUCUUCUGAAUCUCCACUCUUUAAAAUGUUCCAUUUCGUAGUAAAUCUAAAAAGCAAGCUUGGCUCAAAAAGAACUUUGAAAAGCAGGCUUUUUCUUCUUGAGAAAAAUGUAUCACGGAGCAUGAGUUUAUGUUUGAUUUGCUGGUAAUACCAUGUAAGAUAUUUUUACUUCAUUAGAAUAUAGGAUUAUGAGAUCUUGAGAGCCCUUUAUCAGUACAAACAUCCUCUGCAAUAUCAGGGCUAGUAUGCUCCAGCUUUUCUAAAUGGGACUUAGUAAUUUUUAGUAAUCUUUACAAGAAGCGGUUCAGACCUUGGCAUUGCAUAGUGACAUAUGACCUCCUAUUUUUAAGUAAUACCUACGCAAUUAAAUCUGCUGUCAGCAUUCAUUGCCUUGUUUAGGAUGCCUCAGCUGAAUCCUUUCCCAAAAGUACUUGAAAUAUGAAUUGCAGCCAAAAAUGAAGGGAAAGCCUGAGUUAAAGUGUAAAUUCUUUGCCUAGCAUUACUCAUCACUGGAAUCUCUGGCCCAGUGUCUGAUCAGAGCUACAUUAAAUUCCCUAUCAGUUUAUCAUGCACCGGUUCCACAGCACACUGAUGAGUCCUUUCACCGAUUCAUUGUGCUGAGACCUCAGGAUACAGCCACAGGAGAAUGAACUGGGGAUGAAGCAUUAGCUCAGGGUUUAAGCCUCUUUUAAUUUCCUUGCCUCUGUGGAUCUAGAGCGUAGAUUAUUGUGGUUUAAUUUCCAUUGUGUUUUUAACGGCGGUAUUAAACAGGUAGUAAAAAUAAAUGAAAAUAACUUGUCAUGAUUUGUGCAAGAUGUUUGAGAUGGCCAUUGGGUUGUUAUGGGAUAAUACGGCCUAUGCUGUAAAUUUUAAGAGGAAGCGUUUAUUUGCUCACAGAUCUGAUACAUAUUUGUUAAAGACAGUGGGGAAGAAAAGAGCGGGAUAAAACGGGUUGGGGAGUUCAUGUGAGAAAAGCUGCUGAAAGAUCAGUGAUUCCAUCACCGAGGAGCUGUUUCACGGGUAAGAAAUACUGUAACAGGCAAGCAGGGAAAAACAAAGCUGUAAGAAAGCUUUGAAGUCGGAAGUGCCUUUGGCAUCGUCAGAGGUGAUAGGUGAAGCGACCAAGCCUAUCUCCACAUACUUCCUGCAGAAGGAUUAUCCAUUCUUUUAAGCUUCCAUGUGUAGAAUUUUUCCCAUUCCCCUUUUUCCUUUCAACUUCACAGCUACGCUUCCGACUUCAUGGGAGCUGUCCCUCACAGGGCUGCCGUGUGCCCGCCGUGUUCCGUCCCCCGCUGCCACCGGGCCUCCACCACCUCUGCUGCUAAGCAAAGCACCUCUGGCUUCCCCUGCGGGUGUGGCCAGAUUAACUUGCAUGAGGCUGUGCUGGAAAUCCCGCCUGGCAUGGAGGGGGUACUGUUCAUCCAAAAUAACAUGCAACAACAACAAAAAAUCCUACAGAGCGUGCUUAGUGGGACCUGCUAGGGCUUUUGUCAGGGACUAAUGACUUUGACCUCACUCUUCGAUCCCUCAGCACAGAGGUAAGGAUGAAGACUAUUCUAGGGAAAAAUGUUGAUUAGGAGGGCUGAACCUUUCUGUGUCAGCAAGAUUUCCUACAAACCCCCUGUCCUAAAAGCACUGACAAAGGAAAGCUGUGGAGCACAGAAGUAUUUAAGGUGUGCUGUCUGUGUGAGAACUUCUGUCUAUCUACUUGUAAAGUUUCUGUGCUGUAACAACCGGCAUUUUGCUCAAAAAUGGUCAAAUAUCUCAAAAUGCCUCAAAAUUCUGUAGAAGCAAAAAUGUAUACAGCUCAACCUGGCUGAAAUCUAUAGCUCAGCUUAUCUUGCUGUACUGUGAGCUAAAGUGAUAUACAGGUAGUUUGAAAUGCAUCCGUGAAGCAAUUUUUGGAUAAACUGUCUUUUAAACCAAUAUAAAUCGUCUGUGUGGAUGCUAGACCAGAGGAUUUUCAUCACGGAUUAAAUGUUAACUGACUACUUCCCUGUAUAAUCCUUGCCAAAUUUUGUUCUCACUUCCUCGGGUUCUAAGUAGCUUUUCUGCAUUUGAAAUGAUUAUUCUAAAUUUGCACCAGUUUAACAGACCAAAAUUUAGCUUUAAGGAGUGUGAUCUUCUAUUAGUGUGUUUAUAAAGUUUGGGGCUAAGAUUCUGGAAGAGGUGAGUCCGGUUCAGGUGUGAGCCCUUUUUAUACACUGCAUUGUAGGGAAAUCUUGUCGAAGGAUUUAUGUACUGAAAAAUGGGUGUGAGCUGAUAUCGAAUCAAAACUUUUCUUUUGUUCCUUCGAUAACGUUUUAUGGCCAGGCUAAAUAGGCAAGGUGCAAGGAGGAAAUACGAGAAGCACGGCUCCAAGCAGUAAGUGUUUAUAAGAUCGAGUUCCUUUUUGUGGAGUUACAAUAAUACUUUUACAAGUCAGGCUGUAUAUGUAAAUUAUUUAGGGAUAGAUCUUCCAUAGGGUUUCUAAAAUGAAGCCAGUAUUUAUGAUAUGAGGGCCUUUGAGCUUUAGAAAUCCGUACAUGGGCAAGCAGCAAAAAAGGUCAACCUUCUUGUGUAUUUAAAUCAGACUCCAAAUUACUGUGAGUCUUGCAUUAUUUCUGCUUUUUCUGUGUUGGCUUUUUUUUUUUUUUCCCUUCUUUAAACUUCCAUAGUCAGGUAGCACCCUGCAAACUGCGUUGAAUCCAACACCUAAGAUAGCCUUAUAAACCCUGCGGACAUUAAACUACUGGAAAACAGAUUGGGUUGGUAAAAAUAAGUGUGCA
rnacentral:lncRNA from 1 species